UCCCUGGAGGACUAAUGGUUAGGCUUUGGGGCUCUCGCCACUGCGGCCUGGGUUCGAUUCCUGGCCAGGGAA